GAUGAACGCUGGCGGCGUGCCUAAUACAUGCAAGUCGAGCGCAGCGGGGACGGGUGAGUAAGACGUGGUAAAACUCCUAUACGAAUGGGACAGCUUCGGGAAACCGUAGCUCAACGGGAUACUUAUAGGUGGAUCCUCGCUGCAUUAGCUAUGUGGUAAGGUAAUGGCUUACCAAGGCCACGAUGCAUAGCCGACCUGAGAGGGGGAUCGGCCACACUUGAACUGAGAACCGGUCCAGACCCCUACGGGAGGCAGCAGUAGGGAAUCCUCCGCAAUGGGCGAAAGCCUGACGGGGCAACGCCGCGUGAGUGAUGAAGGUCUUCGGAUCGUAAAACUCUGUUAGUAGGGAAGCGGUACCUAAUCAGAAAGCCACGGCUAACCACCGGCCAGCAGCCGCGGUAAUUC
rnacentral:rRNA from 1 species